GGCUGGUCUGAUGGCAGUGGGUUAUCAGAACUUAUUAACAUUAGUGUCACUAAAGUUGGUAUACCACCCCCCCCACUGCUAAAUUUGACUGGCUUAAA
ensembl:misc_RNA Y_RNA Y RNA